UUUGCGAGUCGCGUCCAGUCGGUGCUCGGUGCUCGACGGGACGGUGGCUCUCCGCUCGGAUGCUCCCCCACUCUGGUGAUCGGCAACCGGAGACCUGACGGCCUCGCGACCUCAUGUCCUCGCCCACAUGGGCCAUGGCUUGCGUCCUCUCCUGCUAGCGCGAGUUGCGAAGAAUAGAAGGUGCCUACCACCAGCCCACCGGGCACCGGCGGCCAAGACAACGACGUCCAAGGCCCUCCUCUGACCGGUGGCCCUCUCGGACCACUGUUCUGUAAUAUUGUUUAAUUAUUCAUGUUUAGAACUUAAAUUAGGGUGUUACAAACCUACCCACUUACAUGAAUCUCGUCCCGAGAUUCAGACGGGCUGGCUAGUAAAGAGAUCAGGAUAUGUCUUUCUCAGCUCAUCUUCUCGCUCCCAGGUAUUUGCUUUGAAACUUGGCAUACCCAACCGCAAAUUCCUGGCUCCGCAACUGCCUGAGGAGAGCUCCCAGUGCGCCUCCCUCCCCGCCCGCCUCUGCGCCUCCAGUCCCGGCCGCCGCCCGCGCCCCCGAGGCCAGCAACUGCCUGAGCCAAUGCCGCGGCCCCUGCUCCUCGCUCCCUGGCCGCUGCCCACGGCCCCUGGUGACCGUCCUUCCCGGCAGGUUGGACAUGAGGUAUGCCUUCUCGUUAUCUCCUUCGCAAGGGAACCUGGUUUGUGAUUCCGAUGGAACCUCUGCCUCUCCUCUCCUAACUCCACGCCCUCAGCUUGUGGACGUAUGAAACAUUACUGCUGCAAAUAGGCUGUACAAAUAUUCUGUCACCACAAUCUAUGAGCAGUUGAUUAACAAUGAAUGUCACACUCAAUCAAUGGCCGUGCAAGAUAUCCUGAUUGGGUGUGCACCGAAUUGCUACAUUAGACUCGUAUCAGGCUUACAUUUUGCAACAUCACUCUUGCAUGCCCUAAACUCAGUUGAGAUUGCAAAUUUCCUUGACAAUAACACAAUUCAUCAUCUCAUGCAAUUUGGUGUCUUGUGUAAUUUGAUGUGUCGUGGGUCUGGUAGCAGAAAUUUCUCGAGCAAUUCCUAGGGUUCAGAUGCUGUUUCAUUUACAACAUUUACUAUUUGAAAUUGGUAUUUAAUCUCCAAGAUUGAUAGGCAUAUGUGAUUGUUGCUAUUUGAAAAUUGUUACUAAAUCUGCAUGAUUGAUCUGUAUACGUGAUUGAAUGGAUAAUAUGUUCAAGGAAUUUACUUGAGGUUGUAAAUGAUUUGUCAUUAUUAGUUCUAAAAUGUUAACUCUACAGAACCUUUUUUUGAUCAGCCAUCAGAUCUUAGUUGUAGUCUUGUGCCAUAGCUCAGAAACUUAGUAUCAAGUAUAAUGUGAUGGUUGAUGCUGGCAACACCACAGGCAGCCUACAGUCUGUGAUGCUGGCAACACCACAGGAUCUAGGAUUAUAGGGUUUAAUUUUUGGUCCUUAUCGAACACCACUAAUAAUAGCAGACUGAAAAUCUGAAUCAAUUUAAAUCCGCAAGGCCAGAAUGUUUAAUUCGAUAAAAAAAAAUAACAUCCAUAGUCUCUUGCAUACACUAUUUUCGAUUGUCCCACUCGUCAUCCUCUUUUGCGUGCCAUCUUGCAACUCCACGAAUUCUUGCUUCUUAUCCUCAUCUGUGUCUUUGUAGUCUCCACACACUGAAGUUUGGGUAUUUUAAUAUCUAAAGCACUACUAUGUUUUUGACCUCACUACUGUGUUUCAAUCUGCGAAAGAUACCAAUGCACAGCUACACUAAUUUCCAUCUCGGAUAAUCAACACUGGUGCUAUCGAGCUUGCAGAGUUUGUAACUCGAAAAUGAUUCCAGGCCCAGAUGGAUACCAGUGCACAAAAGUUAGUGGUUGCCCAUGCACGCAAUUUGAUUGGAAGUAAGAUUACUCCAAGUAAAUUAUGUUUGUUUGUACAUAGGCCAUCUUAGAUUUAAUAUUAUGAGCACCUUCCAAGAGAAAAAGUACUGAGGUAUGAUACUAGAACUUCCACAGUUUACUGAUUACUGGAACUUCCAGUUUACCCUUCACUGUAUUUUCUAUCACUCAUGGUAAUAUUGUUGCAGGCUACAUCAUCACAAUCCGCACAGUACGCAGGCAUAAAAGACAUGGACAUAGAUCAACAAUUUAAUAAUUGGUUGGGAUCAUACUAAGAACCAUAACAACACUGAUGACGAGAACAUAAGACGGAAACAAAGAAACUGAAGCUUCAAGAAUAAGACAAGCGCAAAUGGUUCUGGGGGAAGCAUUUUAGUCAGCAAAGACACUUGUUCUGGGAACAAUAUUUUGGACUGCAAAGCCACGUGGGAGCUAGCUAUGAUUUAGACUACCAAUGUUAUAACUACAAGCACCAUUCUGGUAGCCUCAUAGUUAUAGACUCUCAAAAUGGUGAUCUUUUGCUUAGGUGUUCUAAACUGAAAACCUCACUGUACUCCUUGCUAAUGGUUGUUCCUGUCAUCUACCAUUGUCUGCUGCUAGCUGUUGGCAAAUGCAGCCACAUGAACAGUGUAGCGACUGUGUAGUUUAUAAUUCUUAGUAUUUUGUGUUUGCAAA